GACGAACGCUGGCGGCGUGCUUAACACAUGCAAGUCGAACGGAAAGGCCCUGCUUUUGUGGGGUGCUCGAGUGGCGAACGGGUGAGUAACACGUGAGUAACCUGCCCUUGACUUUGGGAUAACUUCAGGAAACUGGGGCUAAUACCGGAUAGGAGCUCCUGCUGCAUGGUGGGGGUUGGAAAGUUUCGGCGGGUGGGGAUGGACUCGCGGCUUAUCAGCUUGUUGGUGGGGUAGUGGCUUACCAAGGCUUUGACGGGUAGCCGGCCUGAGAGGGUGACCGGCCACAUUGCGACUGCGGUACGGCGCAGACGCCUACGGGAGGCAGCAGUGGGGAAUAUUGCACAAUGGGCGGAAGCCUGAUGCAGCAACGCCGCGUGCGGGAUGACGGCCUUCGGGUUGUAAACCGCUGUCGCCUGUGACGAAGCGUGAGUGACGGUAAUGGGUAAAGAAGCACCGGCUAACUACGUG
rnacentral:rRNA from 1 species